AGUCACUGACAUUAGAUACCCCCGUAGUCCCAGCCGUAAACAAUGUGCGUUAGGUGUGUCGGUAACCACGUGUUACUGAUGCGCCGAAGAGAAAUCGUGAAACGCACCACCUGGGAAGUACGGUCGCAAGGCUGAAACUUAAGGAAUUGGCGGGGGAGCACCACAACAGGUGGAGCCUGCGGUUUAAUUGGAUUCAACGCCGGACAUCUCACCGGAUAAGACAGCUGAAUGAUUGUCAAUCUGAAGGUUUUACAUGACUAGCUG
rnacentral:rRNA from 1 species